GCUGGGCAUGGUGGUGUAUGCCUGUAAUCUUAGUGACUCCAGAGGCUGAGUGAGGCAGGAGGAUUGCAAGUACAAAGCCAGCCUCAGCAACUUAGCAAGGCCCCAUGGAACUUAGCGAGAUCUUGUCUCCA
rnacentral:sRNA from 1 species